ACAAUGGGGGAAACCCUGAUGCAGCCAUGCCGCGUGUGUGAAGAAGGCCUUCGGGUUGUAAAGCACUUUCAGUAGGGAGGAAGGUAGUGUAGUUAACACCUGCACUAUUUGACGUUACCUACAGAAGAAGCACCGGCUAACUCCGUGCCAGCAGCCGCGGUAAUACGGAGGGUGCGAGCGUUAAUCGGAAUUACUGGGCGUAAAGCGCAUGCAGGCGGCCUGUUAAGUCAGAUGUGAAAGCCCCGGGGCUUAACCUCGGAAUUGCAUUUGAAACUGGCAGGCUAGAGUCUUGUAGAGGGGGUAGAAUUUCAGGUGUAGCGGUGAAAUGCGUAGAGAUCUGAAGGAAUACCAGUGGCGAAGGCGGCCCCCUGGACAAAGACUGACGCUCAGAUGCGAAAGCGUGGGGAGCAAACAGGAUUAGAUACCCUGGGAG
rnacentral:rRNA from 1 species